rnacentral:misc_RNA from 1 species
AAGUCGUAACAAGGUUUCCGUAGGUGAACCUGCGGAAGGAUCAUUAACACGUAUCCAACGUUAAACAACCCUGUGAACUUUCAACGCUCUUGUAGCCCCAGAGGAACAGCAAUCCCGGUAAAUCAAUGGCGGAAAAGUUUUGAUUCGGGACCUCUGUCCAAAAGGUAUCAAGUUACAAUCGAGCAGAGCAGUGGCAUGGUUUCCCUAAGCAGUGCAGAAGGAUCCACUGAGUAAGGAUAAAUCACCGGCCGGCAGACAUGUCACAGGGCGCGCGCGCCCCCUCAUUCACCCCUUGCCCUCUCAAGCCUCGCGGAAACGCCGGGCAUAAAAACCGAACAACUGUUAACAAUGGAUAUCUUGGUUCUC